rnacentral:rRNA from 1 species
GAUGAACGCUAGCUACAGGCUUAACACAUGCAAGUCGAGGGACCGGCGCACGGGUGAGUAACACGUAUCCAACCUGCCCUUUACUCGGGGCUAGCCUUUCGAAAGAAAGAUUAAUACCCGAUAUAAAGGAUGGGGAUGCGUUCCAUUAGGUUGUUGGUGAGGUAACGGCUCACCAAGCCUUCCAUGGAUAGGGGAUCGGCGAGGAAGUUACCUCAGAUUGGAACUGGGACACGGUCCACACGCCACCGAGAGGCAGGGGUGAGGAAGAUAGGGCAGUGAGCGCUAGCCAGAACCAGCCAGGUAGCGAGAAGGAUGUAGGCUUGUAGGUCGUAGACUUCUUUUAUAUAAGAAUAGGUAUUAUAUGAGUGAGGAUCGGCUAACUCCGUGCCAGCAGCCGCGGUAAUAC